GCCAGGUGCCACUGAGGUAUCCUGGUUAAAGGGGGCCUCUGCUCGUAAGCUCCCGCCUGAGGAUGGGCCCGCGGCCUAUCAGGUAGUUGGUGGGGUAAUGGCCUACCAAGCCUGUGACGGGUAGCCGGCCUGAGAGGGUAGCCGGCCACAGCGGGACUGAGACACGGCCCGCACCCCUACGGGGGGCAGCAGUGGGGAAUCGUGGGCAAUGGGCGAAAGCCUGACCCCGCGAUGCCGCGUGCGGGAAGAAGCCCUUCGGGGUGUAAACCGCUGUCAGGAGGGACGAAGGGACCGUGGGCUAAUACCCCACGGUCUUGACGGUACCUCCAGAGGAAGGGACGGCUAACUACGUGCCAGCAGCCGCGGUAAUACGUAGGUCCCGAGCGUUGCGCGGAGUCACUGGGCGUAAAGCGUCCGCAGCCGGUUGGGUAAGCGGGAUGUCAAAGCCCGCCGCUUAACGGCGGAACGGCAUCCUGAACUGCCCAACUUGAGGCACGUCCGGGCAGGCGGAAUUCCCGGGGUAGCGGUGAAAUGCGUAGAUCUCGGGAGGAACACCGAAGGGGAAGCCAGCCUGCUGGGACUGUCCUGACGGUCAGGGACGAAAGCCAGG
rnacentral:rRNA from 1 species